rnacentral:pre_miRNA from 1 species
UAACCUCGCAGGCAGACUGGCCUGCAGGCGGGGCUGGGCCAGUAUGUUUUAGAAAGGCUCACCCUCGAGCACAACUAGGAGC